CAAACAAACUAAAUGACUGAGAGGAAGACUUCUGUCAACAAACAAACUAAAUGACUGAGAGGAAGACUUCUGUCAACAAACAAACUAAAUGACUGAAAACAGCAAGUGCAGUUGGACAUCCCUGUGAAAGAAAGGAGAAUUGACUUUGACAACAAAUGACAAACGUCACACGAGGGCUGACGCUGACCAUCCGGACCCGAAGUGCUGAAGGAGACAAGAACUGUGAUGCACAUGGACCAAACAUGAUGAGUGCGGAGGGAGACGGAAGGAGUUAAGUUUACCACCGGGGGAGGAUAGUUCUUUCUCUUCCAGACCAGACAUUGAUGUCGUCAUAACCCUUUAUGUUUAUCUCUGGGAAACGCGGGGGAGGACAGCCCUCUCUCAUCUCCCUCACCGGGCUCUGAUGUCCUCACAACGAUAGGGAAAUCUCUGCUUCACAAGCUUCAUUUGGAAAGAAGAAACCCCGCCCCCCCCCCCCCCCCCAGCAGCACAGCGUUUUUGGGAAUAUUUGGGAACAAUCAUUGAUCCAAAGUGGAAACAGAAGCUCACAUGGAGCGUCAUCUGAUGUUUCACCGUCCAUCUACACACACACAGAAACUGUGAACACAAACAAUGUCUUAACUUUUGUCUGCUACUGUAAAAAUAUAUUUUAAUCACAUGUCCUGUUUUCUCUUUUGACAGCCAAUCAAAUUGCUUUAUUUUAAGCCAUGUCUGGUUAAAGCAGUAAUGACAACAUUAUCUUUGCUGCUUAAGUCUCCUUAUUAUCCAACUGACAAACUUGUACGCAUGUCUUUUCCUGCACAAACACUAGACAGCCUAUUAUCUCCACAACAUUGAAAAAGCUGAGCACAUGUGCAACUACUUUUUUUUUCUUAUGUGUCACUGAAUUGAUACUACUUCUAAUAAACCACUUGGUUGUCAAAACUCAAAUAGGUACACUAGAUUCUAUUUGGAGGCAUUUGAGAGGCCCUCAUUACUUCAAGAGUGCAUCACACACAAACCAAGAAACAAUCUAAUACAAAGAGCUAUGAUCUGACGGAGCGGAUGAUGAUGGUGGUGGCCCUCUUUCUGUUCACUUAUCAAACAAAGCCAACACACAGGCAUCGACUCUCAAAGGUCAACAUGUCCUAGACAGUAUUGUAUAUUGAAACCAUCCGAAUGUCCCUGAAAACAUUUUCUUAUUAGCUGUCAAUUCAGUAAUCUAUAAAAUACCUCAAGGAGAGUUAAUUCAAUAAGCCUUACAAUGCGACAAAGUCCCUGCACAUGAAAUCAAUAGAUGAAUAGACACUGCAUUAGAAAAUAAAGCAAAGUGUGGUCACUGACACGUUAUUAUAAGGUCAAUGUGAAUUUUUCUGUCAAUUCUCUGAUUUUAUUUACGCCUUAAGGACUCACUUCUGGACUUUCGUGAUGCUGUGUAUUCUGCGUUUCAAACAUACAAUGUGCUCGUCUCUGUGUGUCCAUGUGUUUCUGUACUGGAUGCAAAAAGGCAGAAAGAGAGGAGAUUGUCACAGUGUGCGUAAAACAGAUCAUACAAGCCACUUAACAGCACUAUAGCCAACUGGUACAAGGGAGCGAGAGGAAAAUCCUGCCAUGCCAACGUGCCAAUGUAGUUUAGCAGCUCGCUAAGAGGCGGGCAGCACCUGACAGAUGCCACUUGGGAGCGUAAUCCCAGAGGGCUGAAAAGAUCGUCCACAUGACGGGAAGCCAGUGAAGCAGGAGGAGACUGGAAUACCAAACGACAAAUUGCAAUGUUAAAUGAAAUAUAUAUCCACUCCGUCCUUUUUCACUGUGCUUAGAAGCGUCCUAUAGAGAGGGACACAUUUCUACAAGCGUCUUUUAAUUGACGAUGUAACAUAUAGAUUAGUUGAUUAGUGGGUCGACAAAAAUAAUAAAUCGGGAACUAUUUUGAUGAUCGAUUGAUUUUCUGAAACAUUUUUUGAGCAAAAAGUUAGGAUUGUUUGUUGCAUGUCUAGUAUAAUAAGGUCUAAGUGUAUUAUUAUCAUUAUUUGUAUUGGCAGUAUUAGAAAUGGUAUUAUUUGAUUAUUUUUUUUUUAACAAUUCAAUAACAUUAAAUUUGACCAGGUAUUAUUUGUUUGAAAACAGCAAUCUCUCCUUUACAGACCUAAUAAAAAUAUAUCUUUCAGGAAGAA